UGUAAGCGUAUACCAAAGUUGUUGCAGUUAAAACGCUCGUAGUCGGACUUUGGCAGUUCCGGAUGUGUGCACGUCGUGUGCGCACUUCGCGGGGAUUGCUUUUGUGGUCUUGCGUAGGAUGAGGCACUUUUAUUAGUGAACGUCCUCACGCAACCACUUUUUACUGUGAGAAAAUCAGAGUGCUCAAAGCAGGCAUUUGCCGUGAAUGUAUUAGCAUGGAAUAAUAGAAUAGGACUUGGUUCUAUUUUGUUGGUUUGUUGGGACUGAGUAAUGAUUAAGAGGGACAGUUGGGGGCAUUUGUAUUUCGGUGCUAGAGGUGAAAUUCUUAGAUUACCGAAAGACAAACUGCUGCGAAAGCGUCUGCCAAGGAUGUUUUCAUUGG
rnacentral:rRNA from 1 species